CGAGAGUUUGGAUCCUGGCUCAGGAUGAACGCUGGCGGCGUGCUUAACACAUGCAAGUCGAACGAUGAAGCCGAAGCUUGCUUUGGUGGAUUAGUGGCGAACGGGUGAGUAACACGUGAGUAACCUGCCCCUGACUCUGGGAUAAGCCUGGGAAACUGGGUCUAAUACCGGAUAUGACCAUGGAACGCAUGUUCUGUGGUGGAAAGAUUUAUCGGUUGGGGAUGGACUCGCGGCCUAUCAGCUUGUUGGUGAGGUAAUGGCUCACCAAGGCGACGACGGGUAGCCGGCCUGAGAGGGUGACCGGCCACACUGGGACUGAGACACGGCCCAGACUCCUACGGGAGGCAGCAGUGGGGAAUAUUGCACAAUGGGCGAAAGCCUGAUGCAGCGACGCCGCGUGAGGGAUGACGGCCUUCGGGUUGUAAACCUCUUUCAGUAGGGAAGAAGCGAGAGUGACGGUACCUGCAGAAGAAGCGCCGGCUAACUACGUGCCAGCAGCCGCGGUAAUACGUAGGGCGCAAGCGUUAUCCGGAUUUAUUGGGCGUAAAGAGCUCGUAGGCGGUUUGUCGCGUCUGCCGUGAAAGUCCGAGGCUCAACCUCGGAUCUGCGGUGGGUACGGGCAGACUAGAGUGAUGUAGGGGAGACUGGAAUUCCUGGUGUAGCGGUGAAAUGCGCAGAUAUCAGGAGGAACACCGAUGGCGAAGGCAGGUCUCUGGGCAUUUACUGACGCUGAGGAGCGAAAGCAUGGGGAGCGAACAGGAUUAGAUACCCUGGUAGUCCAUGCCGUAAACGUUGGGCACUAGGUGUGGGGGACAUUCCACGUUUUCCGCGCCGUAGCUAACGCAUUAAGUGCCCCGCCUGGGGAGUACGGCCGCAAGGCUAAAACUCAAAGGAAUUGACGGGGGCCCGCACAAGCGGCGGAGCAUGCGGAUUAAUUCGAUGCAACGCGAAGAACCUUACCAAGGCUUGACAUGUUCCAGACCGGGCUAGAGAUAGUCCUUCCCUUCGGGGCUGGUUCACAGGUGGUGCAUGGUUGUCGUCAGCUCGUGUCGUGAGAUGUUGGGUUAAGUCCCGCAACGAGCGCAACCCUCGUUCCAUGUUGCCAGCACGUAGUGGUGGGGACUCAUGGGAGACUGCCGGGGUCAACUCGGAGGAAGGUGGGGAUGACGUCAAAUCAUCAUGCCCCUUAUGUCUUGGGCUUCACGCAUGCUACAAUGGCCGGUACAAUGGGUUGCGAUACUGUGAGGUGGAGCUAAUCCCUAAAAGCCGGUCUCAGUUCGGAUUGGGGUCUGCAACUCGACCCCAUGAAGUCGGAGUCUGCUAGUAAUC
rnacentral:rRNA from 1 species